AAUCAACGCUGGCGGCGUGCCUCAGACAUGCAAGUCGAACGCGAAAGGUUCCUUCGGGAACCGAGUAGAGUGGCGUCCGGGUGAGUAACACGUGGGUAAUCUACCUUCGGGUGGGGAAUAACGACCGGAAACGGUCGCUAAUACCGCAUAAUGCAGCGGCACCUAAUGGUGACAGUUGUUAAAGCGGGGGAUCGCAAGACCUCGCGCCUGAAGAGGAGCCCGCGGCGGAUUAGCUAGUUGGCAGGGUAACGGCCUACCAAGGCGACGAUCCGUAGCCGGCCUGAGAGGGCGGUCGGCCACACUGGCACUGACACACGGGCCAGACUCCUACGGGAGGCAGCAGUCGGGAAUUUUGGGCAAUGGGGGAAACCCUGACCCAGCAACGCCGCGUGAAGGAUGAAGUAUUUCGGUAUGUAAACUUCGAAAGAAUAGGAAGAAUUAAUGACGGUACUA
rnacentral:rRNA from 1 species